UCGCACAGCACGAAAUGAGCAAGAGCCGCGUAUCGUCGUGCAAAGCAAAACACGCCGCGCAAUUGGUGGAUACGGUGCGAGGGGCGCCGCGAUUGGCCGAAAUGUCGCGACUGGCGUCACCGUGGUUGUCGCUUAUCUAUCGGGGUCAGUGGGGACAGCGGACGGCAGAGAGGACCGCGAAAAGACCGACGAUCGAUCCGUCCUCCCGCCCUUCCCCGUAAACGAAGUUGUCGUUUGGUAGUUUUUAGCAACACGCCGAUAAAUAGCUGCUAAAUGCAUCCUAAUCAGAGUGAAGUAUGCGUGUUACUAGCGAACCGGAUAAAAGGCUCCCGAUCAAGCAACUCUCCCCGCAAAAGCAAUGCAAUGAUUUUUGCAUUCCCUUGCAUUCCAGAAAUCGACUUUGUGAUAUUCAAAAGAUGUGCGAAUAUGAUUGAGAGAUUCCAAGGGCUAAUAAAAUAAGAAUGUCAAUAAAACUGAAGUGAUUGAAAGGUCGAUUUUUUUUUAGAAACCGUCUUUGCGUUACUAUACGACUGCAGGUACUGUUUGCAAUAUUCCUCGAUCGUCCCUUUUCAAUAAAAUGAAUUUUCUAUAUCCUAUUACAUUGUUUAGAAAAUAAAUACGAAAAUAUCUUAACUAAUCCAUAUUUCUUAAUAAAUUUAAAAAAAAAAUUAAUCAAAUAGAAAUUUUAAUCUAACGCAACACGUGGCUGAGGCAUUUCCAAUGAAUAGAAUUAACAAUGAUCGGAAUGUCGCAGCAAGUUCCAGAAUAGUUAAGAUUGAGAACUGUAAUCUUUAUUGUUUAGUUUAUUAUCGAUGGGCAUUAAGAGGGGAUCGUUUUAUUCGAAAAUUGCAAAACGCGGCGACACGUGGACGAGACAUUUCCGAUGAGGCCACAUUGCUCUUAUAAUUUUGAAAUUUUUAUUGGUCUUUCAGCGUCGUUAUUGUUAUUUCGAUUAUUAUUGUUAAUUGCAAAUUUCCGGAAAGAUCCAAUACCAAGAUGUAAAAUCUAAUAUAGAACUGGAAGUAGAUUAAAGAAUGAAAUUACAAUGAGUCGAAAAAUUUCAAACACGCUUCCAGCGAACAAAGAUCUAACAACGGAAUAUGUAUUACCUGACACUCGAUACACUGUUUCGUUGCUCUCACAAGACUGAACACGUGUGAGAAAACUUCUUGGACUCUUGGCGUCCAUUCUUGGCAAGUUUCUUCACGAUUGGUUCUUGCCUUUAAUUCCUAUUGAAUCUAAACUGUAUAAACCAAUCGUAUAAAAGAAGUUUAUAACUGUUUCUUUCUGUUGGACGCAAUCAAUAAGCCAAUUGCAUUUGACCAAUUGAUGUAUUUGGUCGAUAAAAAUGUUGAAUCGUUAAAAAUUAAAACAUUAAUUUUAAGAGUUACGCCAGAAUAUUCGAAAACAUUUCGAAACAAUUCCUAAACGGUUUUAAAUGGAAAUUUUUACAUUUGAUUUACUACAUAAAAAUAUCGAAAUCGCAUGAAAAUGGUCGCUAUUUAAUAAAAAUAAUUUAAAUAAAAUUAUAUUAUAUACAGAGCAUAUCCCUCUGUAAACAUAGUGAUUUAAGAACUCAGAUGAUUUUUCGACUUCCACUAGACCGAUUCUAUCUUAAAAUAGAACAUUUACAAAAAAGUAAAAAAUAUAUUUGAUUACACAAUUAUACAAUCAUAUUUUGAAAUAUUGAAAGUGUAUAUUAAUUUUUUUAUUUUUAAACUUGUAAAGCAUAACUUUUUUUCCUGAGAAGAUUUAAGGCGAAGAUAUCGUCUUAUUUUCUGGUCUCUUAGAAUUUGCGUAUUUGCUAAGAAAAGCUUGCGCAAUAUUUUGCAACCGAGCAUAACGCAUGCUAAUUAUCAUAUAAUUAUCCGGAUUCUCGGUAUUGCGUGUUCGAAUUAAGCGUAAACGAAAUCACCACUAUUAUUACAGAUAUGUAAUAAUCUAUGUAAAUUAGUUGUCGUUAUCAAUCAAUCCUGAAAAUAGAUGAAGAGCAUUAAUAACAUUAUUAAUUGUUCGAUCAGAGCUGCGUAUAAUAAAUGGAACAGGAAAUUAAAAAGUAAAGUUUCUUAUUCAACACAUUAAAUACUAUUUUUCCAUUCCCUAGUGACCCUAGUCCAUUCAUUAUGUCUGAGGCUUAAUCGUCAAUUUAUAAAUAUUUCAUGAAUAUUAUCGAGAAAAGUGCGCGAUUCAAAUAUCGAUAUCUACCGUUGUACUUUGUUAAUUCCUGUGUAACUUGGAUAUGUCAUUCACCAACAAACGUAGAGCGCAAUAACCGCACGACAAAUAAAAUUAUUUUAAUUUUUAUUGAAUUACAUUGUUUAUUCUUAUAAGACACAACUUAUGGUAAAAUAGCAUAAGAAGCGAUAACGAACGAUCCGUCCUACAAGUUACGUACACAAUUGUUACUCUACACUUAUCGUUAUCGUAUUAUUUAAUUAUUAAUCUUUUUUAGCGUAUAAACUUUCAGUCGUCAAAAAUAAUGCAUUCGAACAAAAUUCAUUUCCUUGGUUCUCCCUAACUACUAUACGCUACUCGGUAAUUCUUUACAUCUGUGUAUUGCCAAAAAUACGUGUCUCAACGAUAUCGUAAUUUUCUUUUUUGUUCAUUCGAGCGAUGUGUAUUCCUUAUUUAUUUCUUACUCAGGUUGUAGAUUUGUACUGAUAUCCGUUAGAAUAUGCUACACCAAAGAGAGAGAGAGAGAGAGAGAGAGAGAGAGAGAGAGAGAGAGAGAGAGAGAGAGA